rnacentral:rRNA from 1 species
GACGAACGCUGGCGGCGUGCCUAAUACAUGCAAGUAGAACGCACAGUUUAUACCGUAGCUUGCUCCACCAUAGACUGUGAGUUGCGAACGGGUGAGUAACGCGUAGGUAACCUGCCUGGUAGCGGGGGAUAACUAUUGGAAACGAUAGCUAAUACCGCAUAAUAUUGAUUAUUGCAUGAUAAUUAAUUGAAAGGUGCAAUUGCACCACUACCAGAUGGACCUGCGUUGUAUUAGCUAGUAGGUGAGGUAGCGGCUCACCUAGGCGACGAUACAUAGCCGACCUGAGAGGGUGAUCGGCCACACUGGGACUGAGACACGGCCCAGACUCCUACGGGAGGCAGCAGUAGGGAAUCUUCGGCAAUGGACGAAAGUCUGACCGAGCAACGCCGCGUGAGUGAAGAAGGUUUUCGGAUCGUAAAGCUCUGUUGUAAGAGAAGAACGGGUGUGAGAGUGGAAAGUUCACACUGUGACGGUAUCUUACCAGAAAGGGACGGCUAACUACGUG